rnacentral:rRNA from 1 species
UACAGAGGGGGCAAGCGUUGUUCGGAAUUACUGGGCGUAAAGGGCGCGUAGGCGGUCUUCUAAGUCUGACGUGAAAUCCCCCGGCUUAACCCGGGGACUGCGUCUGAUACUGGAGGGCUUGAGUAUGGGAGAGGGAUGUAGAAUUCCAGGUGUAGCGGUGAAAUGCGUAGAUAUCUGGAGGAAUACCGGUGGCGAAAGCGGCAUCCUGGACCAUUACUGACGCUGAGGCGCGAAAGCUAGGGGAGCAAACGGG